GCCAGGUAUGGUGGCGUGCACCUGUAGUCCUAGCUACUUGGGAGGCUGAGGUGGGAGGACUGCUUGAGCCCAGGAGGUCAAGGCUGCAGUGAGCUGUGAUUGCACCACUGUACUCCAGUCUGGGCAACAGAGCAAGACCCCAUCUCAG
rfam:Pan troglodytes isolate Yerkes chimp pedigree #C0471 (Clint) chromosome 4, whole genome shotgun sequence.